CACGUAGGGCGCAAGCGUUGUCCGGAAUUAUUGGGCGUAAAGAGCUCGUAGGCGGUCUGUUGCGUCCGCUGUGAAAACUCGGGGCUUAACCCCGAGCCUGCAGUGGAUACGGGCAGACUAGAGGUAGGUAGGGGAGAAUGGAAUUCCCGGUGUAGCGGUGAAAUACGUAGAGAUUGGGAAGAACACCAGUGGCGAAGGCGGCUAUCUGGACGGUUUCUGACACUAAGACUCGAAAGCGUGGGGAGCAAACAGG
rnacentral:rRNA from 1 species